AUUAUGACUAGAGGGAUAGUGUGAUUUUGUCAGUGAAAAUUUUGAAAAAGGUAAACAGGUAACAACCCUGCCUGUAAUAUGUCAAUGAUUUUGAGUCUAUCCCUGCCGUUAUUGGAGGGUCUGAAAGUGGCACCUUUGGACAACCAAGAUAUUUUAUGAGUCCAAGGGGUAGGACUUCCCAGGGUCCGCAGAAGAAAUGCUCAAGCGUCAGGUGGCCACCAGAGACCUGCUGCCGGUGGCCAAGGGUAUCAUCCCGGGCCAAGGCUCCAGGUUGGGACGCGGAGACCCACGACCCUCCUUGGGAUCCCGGGCAUCCUGGAGGAAAGGUGAGGGCGCAUCACCCCCUGGCGGCAGCCGGGCAGACUCCAACCGGCCGAGGUGAUGCUGCGCUCAGGGCCGUCUCUUCUUCCUCUAGCGAAGGCAAGCGGUGCUGCUGCAGAGACAUUUCGCUCGCGCCGGGGCCAGCUCUGCAUUCUCGCUUCGUUUCUCGGACAACAGCCGCUUUAGUGCUAAGAGCAGCACCGUGCCGCCCGCCCAUCCCGACCCCAAAGCCAACUAAUCCUCCCACACCCGCUUUCUGCAGGCGGCGGGGUUUUCCAGCUGAGAGGCCGUGAGCGCCUAGAGUUGGGUGACCACAGGGAGAGUCCUUCCUGAGGGACAAGGGCCACCCGCGCCGCCCGCGCCGCCAGAGCCGGUGAGUUCCUGAACCUGAGAGAACCUAGGACGCACCUGGGCAGGUGCCUGGGUGGCGGCCCUUGAGAGUCAACAUAAGUCAACGAGGCCAAGACCGAACCAGCCGGCCUGAAAGUGCGCGAUGUCCUUCCUGUCCUGAGUGAGUGGGCAUUAUCCAAUCUGUUGAGGGCUUGACUAGAACAAAAAGAAAGAGGAAAGGCCAAUUCUCUCUCUUGAGCUGAGACGUCGUCUCCUUCUGCUCACUGCCCAUGGUCUGGGGCUUCCUGCUCCUUAGCCUUAGGAGUGCAGGACUUAUAGCCGUGUCUUCACCUUCCCGCAGUCGCCUCCAUUCCUCGGGCCUUUGGACUAGGACUGAAUUAUACCACCAGCUUUCCUGAUUCUCUAGCUUGCAGAUGGCAGAUGGUGGGACUUCUUAGCUUCCAUAAUCUCAUGAGCGAUAAUAAACACACACACACUUUU
rnacentral:lncRNA from 1 species